GAGCUUGGAGCGGCAGGGCUUCACCCGGGGCGGCUCCGAGGUGGGUUGCUGAAGGACUCUGGGAGGCAGCUGCAACAGGGCAUCACUCAGUGUCCGAGUAUUUCCAUUUCUGAGCGCAAAAGGAAGAACUUAAGCGGCCGUCAGUUGGAGUGUAAAUUGCUUUGUAGUAUUUAAAAGCAGCAUGGAUCGUGAGCAGCUGAGCUGAAUCACUGUUAUAUUUUUAAACCUCAUUCCUGGAAGCACUGCAGAUGUCAGAUCAAUUUAGAAAGCCAAAGAGUACCUCUGGGAACGACAUGGCAGCAACUGAAAUAGUAUUUGGCCAAAUUAAGACUGUAUGCCAAGGAUGCCAAAACUCACUACCUGGCAGCAACAAACCAACAGGACUUCAUGUGAAAUCAUUGACUACCAUGUGCUCUUUCAGCCUCCAUCAACUCCUAAUUCUAGGCACCUGAGAGCCAAAGCAAACCACAAGGAGCCACAG